rnacentral:rRNA from 1 species
GACGAACGCUGGCGGCGUGCUUAACACAUGCAAGUCGAGCGAGAAGACGUAGCGAUACGUUUGUAAAGCGGCGAACGGGUGAGGAAUACAUGGGUAACCUACCCUAGAGUGGGGAAGUAACUAGCCGAAAGGUUAGCUAAUACCGCGUACGCUCCUUGGACUUCGGUUCAGGAGGAAAGCGAUGCCGAGGGUAUCGCGCUCUUGGAUGGGCUCAUGUCCUAUCAGCUUGUUGGUGAGGUAACGGCUCACCAAGGCUUCGACGGGUAGCUGGUCUGAGAGGACGAUCAGCCACACUGGCACUGCGACACGGG